rnacentral:lncRNA from 1 species
GUAAGCUUCACGGUGGAGUUCGUCAUAAGGAACAGGGCACGGGAGAUUCGAGUAAUCAACUUUCUCAUCCACUUUAGGCUGCUUUCCGUCGAUUUGUGCCGUCACGAGAGGUGGGAAGAGAUCCGCCAUCGCCGUCGCCGCUACCGCCUUUUCAAAAUCGUUUACGGCCGCGACGGUAGAAAAGGAAGGGUCUUCUAUUUGGGGGCGAUUCUCUUUAGGGAUGUUAAUAUGUGCUCAACUCCACAGGGUUGCACCGAUUUGUAGCCUAACCCUUGUUUAUGUAACAGGAUUUAAAAAUAACUGGCUCUAAGAAGGGGAUUAUUGCAACAUGAAUUUCUGUGGAAUUUUAUGAUUUUAAUAGUUGUGAGUAUUUUACAAGUUAACUAGAUUUAAAAUUUUUUAUCAAAUAUUUUUACAUAGAUUUUCAUUACUUGUGCAUAGAAUUCUAUUGAUUUUUAUUAACUUUUAAAGUAAGAAAUUAAUGGUGGUUGAAAAAAAUGAAAAGAAAAUCAUUUCAAUUAAGGCAAUUCUUAAACAACUUUUAAAAAAGUUUUUCUCACAAAAAAAAUCUCAAGAAAUAAAAUGACCAAAAAAUUUAAUUUCUACUUUUUACUUUAUAGAUAUAUAAAUAAUAAAUAAUAAAAAUAUUUUUUUAUAUAAUUUCGAAAUAUAUGUUUUAAAUUUGAUUUUUUGUAAAAAAUUUUGAAUUAAUAUUUUUCAAAUGUUUUUUAAAAAAAUUUGAAAGUUCUUUUUAAAACUAUUUUUACAAUUUUUAUUUUAAAUUUUUAAUAUUUUUUUCUAUUUUUUUAAGUUGUGAAUUUUAUUAUGUUAAAGUCGUGAUUUGUAUAUUAUUUCAUUCUUCAAUUUGAGUUUUUGUAUGUGAGUGUAUUUUAUUACAUUGAUUUCAAAAAUCUUAUGGGUAUAGAUGAUAUUCUCAAANNNNNNNNNNNNNNNNNNNNNNNNNNNNNNNNNNNNNNNNNNNNNNNNNNNNNNNNNNNNNNNNNNNNNNNNNNNNAAUAAUAAACAGAAUAUAAGGCGGCUCGGCCGACCAAUAAAUAAUAAACAGAAUAUAAGGCGGCUCAGCCGACCAAUAAAUAAUAAACAGAAUAUAAGGCGGCUCGGUCGACCAAUAAAUAAUAAACAGAAUAUAAGGCGGCUCGGCCGACCAAUAAAUAAAUUAAAUUACUAGUAAAUAAUAUAAGCGGUAUUCCAGCCAUUAUAACAUGAUAUAAAUAAUAGUAGAGGCGGUAUACCGACCAUUAUAACAGGGUAUAAAUGAUACAAAUAAAUUUUACCGAAUCGCAGAGUGAUCGUGCUGAUAACGUGUUAUAAAAUAACUUAUGAGUUUAUAGUAUUGAGAAAUUUAAAUAAGAGUAAAAAUUUAUACCCGUAGGAGAAGAUAACACUGAUAUAGAGAGAGAGUGUUUCUUAUUAAGGAGAAGAGAAGAGUUUUCAGUGUGUUUACAAACGAACGCAAACGUUCGUAUAUAUAGAAAAAAAUUUACUGUGCAAAUAGUGCAGCGGGCCCCACAUCUUUUUAUAUUUUCAACGAAAGCGGCUCCUCCCUUUUCUUUGACUUUCGUAACAGAAACAAAGGUAACACAGUGUUACAUAAAAAAAGGUAAAAGUUUACCUUUGCUCGGCCCACGAUUACGUCUCUUGGCCCAUCUAACCAUUUCCAAAUUCCAACUCACUUUUAAAGACAUACUGUCAAAUACAUUAGAGAAAACUAUACUUUCUACAAAGACUGUUUAAAAUAAAUAAAGAGAAAUUUGAUUCAAAUACUAUAAGUCGGCUAAAACUUUUCAAAAUACUUUUAAUCAAAAAUAGUUUAACAUUUAGAUUUAAGGUUUAGUGAUUAUUGUUAAUCUAUUAGUAUUUAGUGGAUGAGAUUGGUUUUAUAAACGAUUUAAGAUAUUUAUGAAAAUAAUUAAUUUUUAAAAUUAAAUUAAAAAAAAUAGUAGCAAAAUUUGGUAAAAUUAAAAUCAUCCUUAAAUAAAAUACACUAAGAAUAGUUUCAGAUUUUAGAUGUAUUUGGCUAUUGUCCCAACAUUUUUACUGAUUUAUAUUAGAAAAUUUACAAAAUAAAUAUAUAAAAUAUAUUUUAAUCUUUUUCUAUAAAAUAACAUUUAUUUAUUCACACUGCCAAUUCUGUUUUAAAAUCAAAUAAAAAAGAGAUUAUUUGAAUAGAUCUUUUUGCUGUUGUCCCAACAUUUUUACUGAUUUCUAUUAGAAAAUUUACAAAAUAAAUAUAUAAAAUAUAUGUUAAUCUUUUUUCUAUAAAAUAAUUUUUUUUAUUCACACUGCCAAUUCUGUUUUAAAAUAAAAAAUUGAGAUUAUUUGAAUAGAUUUUUUUGCAGUAAAAACAAAUAAAAAAUAGUAAUGAGUUAAAGAUACUGGUAUUAAAAGAAAAGUAAAAAAGUAAAGAUGCCUUUGAGAGGAAUCCUAAACCGAGAAAAUAAACAACACAAACAUUCUUCCUUAUGAAUAAAAGCCUAAACUGAAAUUUUGAGAGGGAAAUACAAAUAAUAAUAAAUUUAAACCGAGUCCCUCGGCUGACCGCUGCAAUCUGCGCUGCGUGUAUAGAGCCAGUGCUUUAUUGCGUGCUGCUGCUUCUUUUCUUAGCCGACUGUUAAACCAAAUCCAAACUUGUAGUCUUUCUUCUUAUGGUCAACCUGUGAGAAAAAAAAAAAACCCAAUCAAGGAGUUUUCAAACAAGAAUCUUCGGUUCAAGUCUCAGUACAUGAACGAACAAGGUACAACAUCAUAUUACCUCUGCAGACAGAAGAAAAUUAAGUCCCAUACUCAACCUUUCUUCCAGGAGAGCUGAUGUAACUCCGUUGGAAUCAAUCUUCCCCCUAACACGAGACUGAAACAACAGCACACAGAUUAUAAGAAUCAAUACGCAUGUUAUUGCUUGUUUUUCAGUUCCAUUACAAUCCAGAAAUUUACCUGUCUGAGAAUGUAGUCAUACCCAACACUAGCUACAACAUCUCUUGAAAAGUAGUUGUACACAAAAUCAGUGGCGAGUGAAACCUGAUCAUUAAGGUUAAAAAUGAAGGUUGUCUUGUUUUAUCUCUAUACUCUUGUAAAAAGGGUUAUAAGAUGAGCUCAAUGAUAAAAGGUAGUUGUACCUUCUCGGAAAUCUUCUGAACAUAGUUCAUAACUACAUUACCAGUGCUAGCAACUUGCGCAGAGGCGACCUGUUGGUAAAAAAUAGUUCUUAGUAUGAUAGGUACUACACAAACUGUUUAGAGUGUUGUUCCAACACAGCUUGAAAACGAGUAGUGAUGAAUUAACUGAGAAGAUGAAUUACCAUCUGAUCAGUUUCGUAUCUUGCAGCGUAACCUAUACCCGACUUCCUUGGCACACCAGCCCAGAAAACUUCCCCACCCAAUGAUAGACGGGGUGUCACACUCUGUUCAAAAAUUUAUUAAUAUACAAUGAGAACAAUGAAUAAAUAAACAAAAAGACAACUUUUCUUAUAACCAUAAAACUAAGCAUGACAAAACAAAGAUGAUUAGAACGAGUUAUGGUUCUUCUCUCAUCACUACGUUACUGCAAGAGAGCAUAAGUGCAAAGAUGUCUAACCCUUUUCCUAUCUACUAUUUGACUUCAUGAGGAAAAUUUUGCAAAAUUGCAAGGGGGACAAUAGUCAACUUUACCUGAAUAUACGUUGCUCCAACUAGAGCACUGUUCCCAAGUUGAAGUUGGGCUCUGUAGUCUUUUCCCUACACAAACAUGAGAUGAAGAAACUCAAGACGAACCAGACGGAUAAGAAAAUUUCAAACAGAAAGAAGUUCCUCACCAUGUAGUCAAAGUUGAACACCGCAUGUGACAUAUGUGGCUCACCUGUCAGCUGGAGAAAGGGAAAAAAAGGAUGAUAAAUACAAUAUUCCAGAUACAGCAUAGAACAAACACAUUCUCCAGUUGAAGCACUUACUUGAGCAUUGGCCUUUAAGAUCAACUUAUCACUUAAAUCAGCUUUCACUCUUGCAUUGAGUCUACCAUCAGUCAUAACCCUUCCAACAAGCAUCAACUGCAUAUUAAUAUUUGUCAUUCUCAUAUCUUCUUGAUAGCCAUAUAUAAAUCACCAGAAAAGCUACCUUUGGGUCAAAGUAAUUGGCACCAAACUCAUAAUGGGCUGUUGGAAUUUUGAUCGUUGUGUCAGGUGACUGAGAAGGAACUUCGGUUGGCCCCAUCAUUACACUAUUUCAAUAAAAAAAAAGGAUAACAGAGUUAAUCAUAAACGCAAAUAAACGCAAGUGUUUAGCAAUAAACCUGGAAACAUAAUGUAACUAACCUGUGGCUGAGAGAAAACCUUUGAUUCAACCCUUUGGAAAAGUCAAAACGUAAACCCUCAAAAGUUUCAGACUUUAAAGACACUGCAAAGAAUAAUCAAAACCAGUUAGAAACAUAAAUCAAAAUGAUUCACCAAAACAGUAAAGAAAACAUAAGGAGGGACACUAAUGUGACUACAAAGAUUCAAUCAAAGAAAGCAUCAUGAACAAGUUCUGAUCUCAGAAUCUACAAUUCGAAAGAUUACAAGCAGUUGUUAUCAUAGAUUUUGACAAAAGACAUACACUGAGUAGCCAAUGAACAGUGUCUAAUUCGAAUCAAUUGACCAAUUUCAAUGGAAACAAAACACAAAUUAAAUCUCUAAGAAGGACAAUAGAAUGCACUAGAGUCACACUCAUCUAUCAAGAAAAUCAAAGGAUAGGAGAAAAGUGGAUAAGAGAUACUGAACUGUAAGCUUCACGGUGGAGUUCGUCAUAAGGAACAGGGCACGGGAGAUUCGAGUAAUCAACUUUCUCAUCCACUUUAGGCUGCUUUCCGUCGAUUUGUGCCGUCACGAGAGGUGGGAAGAGAUCCGCCAUCGCCGUCGCCGCUACCGCCUUUUCAAAAUCGUUUACGGCCGCGACGGUAGAAAAGGAAGGGUCUUCUAUUUGGGGGCGAUUCUCUUUAGGGAUGUUAAUAUGUGCUCAACUCC